UUACCAACAGAUGAAUCACAUUCCUAGAAACAUAUUGUAAUUGAAUAUAUGAGAACAAUGACUACAUCUUUUGCUAUUUAUUUAAAACAAGAAAACUUAGUGUAGAAUCACCUCUAUGAGUAAAAGAUAUAAAGCAUAAAUCCCAGAACCAAGGCAUAAAAAUAGGAGGAGCUAGAAAAUGAGUGGCAGAAUACAAGAAAAAUGCCAAAAAAAAAAAAUAACGUGGUCACUGAAAUAAAGACAAAAUGGAAGAAGCAUAAAAUGAAUAAAGAUUACAAAGCAUUAUGAAGGACAUUAAAUAUGGAAGUGAGAAAAGUGAAAAAUUAUAUGGAUAAAGGGCAAGAAUAGAAAGAGAAAAUAACUAUAAAAAAACAGUCAAAAGAGGUCCAACAUAAACAUAAUUGGAAUUCUUCAGAAGGAAAUUCUCUUCCUCCAAUGGGACAGAACAAAUAUUUGAAGUAAUAAUUCCGGAAAAGUUCUGUGAAUGAAAUUAAAGGUUUUAAAUUAUAGUUGAAGGCUUGCCAGCAAAACUUACCCUGGGUAUNUUUUAAAGAAAAAAAAAAACGUCUUUGGGAGAGUUCCCGUCAUGGCUCAGUGGUUUACAAACCCAACUAGUAUUCAUGAAGAUGGAAGUUGGAUCCCUGGCCUUGCUUAGUGGAUUAAAUAUCCAGUAUUGCCAUGAGCUAUGGUACAGAUGUAGCUGGGACCCUGCGUUGCUGUGGCUGUGGUGUAGCAGGCAGCUACAGCUCUGAUUUUACCCCUAGCCUUGGAACCUUUACAUGCCAUGGGUGAGGCCCUAAAAAGACAAAAAAAAAAAAAAAAAAAAAAAAGUCUUCUCAUAUGUAGGGGAAAAGAUCAUGUCACAUUUAAAAGAAAAAUAUUAUACUGGCUUUAUACUUCUCUGCAGUAUUAUUCUAGAGCAGAAAACAUUGAAGCAAUACCUACAUGAUAGUCAAGGAAAGAAAGUUUGAUUCAAGUAUUUUAUAUUCAGCCUAACUGUUCCUCACGUAUAAAGUCUACAGACAAACAACUUUGAACAUUGAAGAACUCAGGAAAGAUUGUUUUCAGGAGACCAUUCUUGGUAAAACUAUUAUAAUCAGAGAUGUUGGAUGCUGGCCCAAACAAGUUAGUGAGUGUUGCAAAUAUACUGAAGAAAGAAGUCUAAAACAAAUGUGGGGAUCACGGUGACAGAACAGAACAUGAAUGAUAUGUGCUCUGAUAAUGCUGAAAUGAUAAAAAUAAUAGAAAUGGGAAGGAAAAGUGGAAAAGGAUGUGGGCUUUUUCUUUAGUAGCUAGGUAAUCCUUCAUAGCUUACCAAGAAGCUCAAUAAAAGUAUAAGCAAACUGAACAGUGUAAUGGAAAUACGUAAGGAUGAAAGGACCAUGGACUAAAGGCCUGUGAUGGAGAAUGGAUGUUUGGGGAAGAAGUCUUAUCUAUUUAAUGUUAGGGAACUGUAGAUGCUAUCUAAAAUAUAAAUAGAUUGAGGCUAUUAUAUUAUUUUUGUAAAAAUGUCGAAAGAACUACCAAUGUAAAAAUUUUAAAAAGCAGCAGACCAAGUGGUAAAAUAUGUAAAAGCCAGCAAAUACUAUGACUAAGCUGACCAAUUCUGUGCAUUUUAUUGAUUAUGUCAUAAAAGGCAUAAGACAAAACAAAGACAAAUCAUCGUAGAUUGCAUCUUAAAUUCUGUCUUCUCUUUAAUAAAUAUAUCUCAAACAAAGUGAUUUGGGAAGGUUGAAAUAAAAGGAUGGUAAUGUUACAUCAGAGAAAUGAAACAAAAGUAAAGCAAGGGUUUCGAUGUUCAUAACAGACAAAGGCAAAGUGAAAUUCAGUUCAAAACAAUAAGCUGAGAAAGAGAAGCACAUUUGUUUUCUUUUUUCUUUUCUCUCUCUCUCUCUCUUUUUUUUUUUUUUUUGCUUUUUAGGGCCACACCCUUGGCAUAUGGAGGUUCCCAGGUUAGGGGUUGAAUCAGAGCUAUAGCUGCUGGCCUACAGCAGCCACAGCAACACCAGAUCUGGGCCUUGUCUGCAACCUUCACCACAGCUCAAGGCAACGCAGGAUCCUUAACCCACUGAGCGAGGCCAGGAAUCAAACCCUAGUCUUCAUGGAUACUAGUUGGAGUCAUUGCCACUGAGCCACAGCAGGAACUCCAAAGGGCACUUUCUAAUAGCAAAUGCUGAUAAUCACAAUGAAAAUACAGUAGUGAUGAAAAUCUGUGUAGUGUUAGGAGCAAAUUUCCAAUAGGCACACAACUAGGAGGAAACCUAUUUCACCAUUCUCAAUCCAAGCAGGUCAAGUUGACAAAAGUGAGAUAGACUUAAAUAACAUAAUAAUCAUUUGCUGAAACACAUGAAUAAAACUCUGUAUCUUGAAAUUGAAAAUACAUCUUCCUUUAAGGCACCCACAGAAAAUUUUUAAAUGACUAUGUAUUAUGCUACAAAGAAAAUCUCAAUAAAUUUUCAAGAAUGAAUGUAAUACUGAUCAUAUUGUAACAACAUAUUAGUUAGCUGAUGUAUGGUAAAACAAUCAAGAAAGUCACUUAAGGGAAGACAAGGGAAGGAACUUUCUCUAAACUACUUUUGGGUCAAGCAGGAAAUACUUAUUAUAUUAAGAGCAUUUGUAAAAAUAAAAGGGAGUGAUGAAAACUCUACAUGUAAAAUCCAGUGGAAUACGAUUAAUUGUAGCCUUAAAUGAAUUUAUCAACAAAAUAAAAUGAAUGAAACAAAGAUUUAAACUUCUGACCCUCAGAAAGUUAGGUUAAAAACAAUAAU
ensembl:lncRNA